rnacentral:rRNA from 1 species
UACGAAGGGGGCUAGCGUUGUUCGGAAUUACUGGGCGUAAAGCGUGCGCAGGCGGCUUCUCAAGUCAGGGGUGAAAGCCCAGAGCUCAACUCUGGAAUUGCCUUUGAGACUGAGUGGCUUGAGUACGAGAGAGGUGAGUGGAAUUCCCAGUGUAGAGGUGAAAUUCGUAGAUAUUGGGAAGAACACCGGUGGCGAAGGCGGCGACCUGGUCCUUAACUGACGCUGAGGCGCGAAAGCGUGGGGAGCAAACAGG